rnacentral:rRNA from 1 species
GAUCAUGGCUCAGGACGAACGCUGGCGGCGUGCUUAACACAUGCAAGUCGAACGGAGCACCCUUGAUUGAGGUUUCGGCCAAAUGAUAGGAAUGCUUAGUGGCGGACUGGUGAGUAACGCGUGAGGAACCCGCCUUUCAGAGGGGGACAACGGUUGGAAACGACUGCUAAUACCGCAUGACGCAUUUUGAUCGCAUGGUCGAAAUGCCAAAGAUUUAUCGCUGAAAGAUGG